ensembl:lncRNA
CGCCAUGCCAUGGGAUUUCACUCUUGAACAUCUGUGGGAUCCCGAGAAACUGAGCCAGCAUUUGAGUCAGGGAUGGUGCGGCUUACAUAGAUCAAAGAAGGUACGGCUUAUCUGGGGCUUGGCUGGUGCCUACUGCGCUCUGUAUAGUACUGUACUGGAGAGAGAGAGUUUCCGAGCGGAGAUGCAAGCCAAAGGGGGAAAUCUUCAAGCCAAACUGGCUCAGUCACAUCAGACACCAGUAACAGUGUCAGUAGCCCCUGUAGAAGGCAAGAAAUGGAAGCGGGUGUCCUCACGUCUAGAGCAAAAGCAAAAACUAAGAGGCAUGAAGAGGACAGCAAUGAAGAGG